CCAAGUCCCUGGGGUUGGUGGGUGGAGUUUAAGCCAAUUGCUGAUGGCUUUGCCACCAGGUGGCAAAGUUUAGACUUUGUCUAGAAGAAGUGGGGAGCCAUGAGGGGUUUUGAGCAGUGGGACAUGAAAGUAUUGCUUUGGGAAGUUGGAAUCCAGGAGGCUUUUAUCUUCCAGUCUUGCUUCUCUGGAGACCGAUGUCCCAAGAGAACAUGCCUGGCCGCUUAGCUCCGUGGAGUUUAUGCUCUGGGAGACCCUGAUGGGGAGAUCCUCAUUUCGACUGGUCACAUUAAUACUACUUUUCGAGUGUGAAAGGUUGAGUCAAGGUUUGGGCUUCUGGCAGGUUCUCGCCUCUGGCUGGUGUUCCCCCUUUGAGAUGGUCCCACUACUUUCACGCAGCGUCCCUACCCCACACACAUCUCCCCCUCUACACAGACACUAAGGGCUCCUCAUGGGGUUUCAUUAUUGGUUUUUAGCGGAUGUUCCUCUAACUCGGUGCAUUUCCUCAAGCCAACGUCUAUUCCACUAUCAUGGGGAAAUUAAUAUAGAAAUUUCCUCCUUUGUAUCAUCAAUUUCAGAUGAUGUAUGUUCCCGGCUGAUGGCCCUCCCCUCUAUUUGCAUAACAGCAGGUAAACAAUACUGCCACCUAGUGGGAGCUCAAGGUGUGACCUUCGGAGCUCCUCCUCCUGACCCCGGGACAUUAUUUCUAUUACUGUUAAUAUUUAAACUAAUGGGCAGUUCUGAGCUCAGUGCUCUUCCCAGUGGGUGGAUCCACGUGGAUUUUCACGUCUCCUUCUCAUUCUCUUAAAACUUGCAGUUACAAGUGUCAGAGAAGCUGUUUUGUGUACGCAGAACGAUUGAAACAGGUGCAGGGAGCUUUACGUACUUUACUUUGACUUUUGCUCACAGCAGUCCAGGUAGGUAACUGGAUUCCCGUUUUAUACGUGAGGAAACCCAGGCUCAGUAAGAUUAAGUAACUUGGAACUUUACUGAGCACCUAACGUGCCCAACUACGUCCUGGACUACCUAGGUAGUAUGGGGAUUGUGGCCUGUUUUCCUCUAAGAAUACGCUGUCCAGACACAGUGGCAAGGCGUAGUUAGCUCCUGGCCAACUUGUAGAGGAAAGGAGAGACCCUUGCACACUGCAGUAGUGCAGCAAGACUGCUUGGAUGGAAGAAGUGGGUCUGGAGCUAGGAUUCGAAAGGUGGCAUGGGAAGAGAAUGUUUGGCGGAUGAAGGCACAGAGGCGGCGCUAGUGCUAGGGAUGUCCGGGGGCGAGGAAAGACUUGCUGAUCUUGGGCUGUGCCAGGUGUCGUGGGUUGAGGGUCUGGGAUACAGAGUCUGCGAGAGCUAGGUUGAGAGCUCCAGGGAGUCACUGCGACUACUUCCUUGCUCCAUUUGUGAACUGAGAAGUAAGACUCGUUUGAUGGACGAAAUUUAAAUAAUGCAGAAAUAUAUUAAAGUAAAAAAAAAAAAAAAGAAAAUCUCCUACCAGGCCUAUUCUCCCCCAGAAAACAUGAUUAAUAGUUAAACGUUUGGGGUACAUGCUUUCAGAAGAUUUUCUUUGCCUGUAAAACUAUAUAGAUGUAUAUGUCUAUUCAAGUAUAUAAAAAUUAAUACAUGCAUAUGUAGUGUGAUUUAUUUUAAUAGGGUUAUGUUUUAACUAUUAUAAUUUCCUUGUCAUCAAAAAUUCAAAAAUAUAUCACAGUCAUCUUUUAACUUAAACCUUUUACUAUGGAAAAUUUUAAACAUAUGCAAACCUAGAACAUUAUAAUAAAUCUCCCUCAGCUUCAACAUUUAUCAAUACAUAAUCAAUUUUGUUUUCUCCCCACCUCACUCCAUAGGUUCUCCUGAACUGGAUUAUUUUAAAUAAAGCUCCAGACAUCAUACAUUGCAUCUGUAAAUACAUCUGUAUCGAUCUCAAAAGAAAAGGACACUUUUAAAACAUAUAUAACCACAAUGCCAUUAUCACAUUAAAGAAACCUGUAUUCUUUCAUAUCAUCAAAUAGCUAAUUAGUGUUCAAAUUUUUCCACUUGUCUCAUAAACUUUGAACAGCUGAUGUGCUUGAAUGAUGAUUCAAAUAAGGUCUAUACGUUGCAUUUGAGUGCUGUUUUUUAUGUCUCAUUCCAUUCAUAGAUUUCUACUCCCUCCUUUUUCUUUUUUUGUGUUUGCCAUUUCUUUUUUUGUUGAAGAAACUAGUCAUUGUCCUGUAAAGUUUCCCACAUUUUGGAAUUUGCUGAUUGUAUUCCCAUGGUGUCUUUUAACCUGUUCCUCUGGCCCUAUAUUCCUUGUAAACUGGUAAUGAGUUCUAGGUGCUUGAGCAGAAUUAGAUUUGAUUUCUUGGCAUAAAGAUGGGAGCUUCUUAGGCAGGAGAAUGAGGCGACCAAAAGCCAGAGUGGUGGGAUUGAAGAAAGAAGGACACAUCUCACUGGCCUCCCCAAGCAAUCCCUUUCACUUGUUUUUCGAGGCACAUGUGAGAGACAAAGGGGGCACCCCAAACCUCUGUAGGGUUGGCUUCAGGGAUGCUCAGUUUCCAGGGGGUCACAUCUCAGAGCCUUCCAUGGGUGGCCCACCCAAUCCCACCAUCUGGUCAGCCAGGGUUGCUCAGUAACUUGUUCUCAUGUUGAGUGGAAGUCAUAGCUUCCUCCUCUCAUUGUGGUUUCACAUUUGCUUUCUUCCCUUCUUAUAACAUGUUUCUAUUUUCUAAAAUAUCACAAAAAUGCUGUCUUUCCAAUUCUCAGCUAGCUCAUCCCGUUGACACUGCUGAGCCACUGAGGACAGCUUAACUGUCUCAGCUCAGAGCCAGGAAAAAUUUGGACAGCGUUUGCAGAAAUUGCCAGGGCUCGUGAAAUGCUUUACAUAUUGUAUCACAAGCUCCUGAGGAAGAAUCACUUAAUUUCAAUGAAAUCAAAUGACUAGGCCGGGCAUAGUGGCUCAAGGCUGUAAUCCCAGCACUUUGGGAGGCUGAGGCGGGAGGAUCACUUGAGCCCAGGAGUUCAAGACCAGCCUGGGCAACAUACGGAGACCCCCCAUCUCUACAAAAUUUAAAAAAAAAAAAAAGCCUGGUGUGGAGUAUGUCUGUGAUCCCAGCUGCUUGGGAGGUUGAGGUGGGAGGAUUGCUUGAGCCCAUGAGGUUGAGGCUGCAGUGAGCCGUGAUCGCACCAUUGCAUUCCGGCAUGGGUGACAGAGCAUGACCCUGUCUCAAAACCAAAAAGAAAUCAAAUUACUACCUCUGACUCCUGCUUACCACCCUAUCGCAGGGAGUCCAACCUCAGCCCUGUUUUUCUUAAAUGAUCAUAUUCAGUUCUUCAGUAUCUUUGAUUAGUCUCCCCUCCCCCUACCUUAAUGACAAUUUGUUUGUUAUUUUCUAUUAAUCAAAAUUUGCAGUUGCAAGUGUCAGAGGGGCUGUUCUGCAUACAGGCAGAACCUUUGAAACAGGUGCAGGGAGCUUUACUCAGAACAAGAGAUGCUCAUCACCAGCAGCUGAUGCAGGGCCUCCACCCGCGCCCACCCCCCGGCCCCCGACAUGAUAUUGGAACAGCUACACCUGAUAAUCUAGUUUGCUGUGUGGUCUGAUCUCUGUGAAAUAUUUGCUUUUCUUUAGGCUUUCAGAAAUAUUCAAAAUAGCUUCUCAUUAUCACUUUCCUAAACUCCUGUGGUGUCUAGGACACCACAGUGCGGGGUUACUUCUGUUAGUUAUUAGAAUCAUCAAUUUCAUUGCUAGAGGGGACCACAGAAGCCACCCUGGUCCAGGGUCCUGCCUCAUCCAUCCCUCUUCAGUCUACUCACUUGAAAAACAAAUUACCUGAAUCCUAGACAGGUUACAUCCUUUCUCAGGACCAAUAGAUAAUAAAUGGAGGUGAGGUUUGAGCCUCGUUUUUGGUUAUGAGUUUUAUCAAAAUUAUUUUAUUUUUAAAUAAUUCAUCUACAGAGAGAAGAAAGCUCAGAUUAAGGGCCAGCCUUCAUAGAUGCAGUCUGUGAAAGUGUUUCUCCUUAAGUUUGUCUUGUAAACUCUUCGGAGCUGAGCUAAGAAAGGGAUACUUUCUCAACUCUAAGCUAUCAGUGCUUUACCAAGCCUCCUCUCGUCCAGGCCCAUCUUCCAACUUGACCCCAGCAAGUGCCCAUUUCCUGGGAAUGAAUGUUGAUUUUAGAGACUGUCCUUAGGUUCUUUCAGGGAGGCAGUAUGGUGUCACAACACAAACCCCAGACAGACUUGGGUUCUAAUCCCAAGUCCCCACUUGAUUAGCGAGGUGGUGUUGGGUAAGUCACUUCGAUUCUGAUCCUCCAUUUCCUUAUCUUUAAAAUAGGCCGAGAGUCCCCAUCCCAGGUUAUUCCUGACUGUGCAUCUCCAGCCGGUGACAUAUCCCACACGCGUCAUAAAUGGUUGCUAUUGUUCCUGUGGGAAGGCAGAGUUGAAUCUAGCCUCUAGGGAAAAGAGGAUGGGCAAGACCUAAGAUAGAAAGCCAGUGUUUCCAAGAUAAUGUACGCUUGUGUUUGACCCUCAGAUUUGGGAAAGAUGGUUGUUUUUUAUGAACUGUCCACUUUUCUUCCUCACCAGCUAGAAACUGAGUUGAGAUAAUCAACCCUCUGUCAAACAAUCUAUACACACACACAGCUAUAUAUAUAUACACACACAUACACACACACACUCACACACACACACCCAGAAAAGGGGAAAAAUACUCAGCAAAGCUCUAUCCACAUGUUGGCCUGUGAUUUCUGGAACUUUGUCAGCCAGUUUUCUCGUGUCUGAAUCCAGAAAGCAAACUGGGUUGGAGACAGUUCACGAGAAACAUCCCCUCAGAUGACCUACUCAGGUACUUCCUCUAUAUUAUUUCAUUACUUUUUUGUCCCGAUGAAUUUUGCUCUUACAGUUUCAAGAUAAUCAAUUUAUUUUCAUGCGCCUUCCCCGUCCAAAUUGGAUUAUGAAUAUAAAUAGCCAUGUGCUGGCCCCAGUGGCCAGUGUGCGCUCCCAGGCUGGUGCUUGGCAGACUGGGUCCUGGGGAAGGCUUGGGCUGUUUGUUUAUUUUCAAUUGAAGCUCUAAAUGCUGGAAUGACUUCCAGCUCCUUUACGCACAGCCAUCUCAAAACUCCCUUUGUUCCCUGGUUGCAGAGGCCAAAUACUCAGGGUUUUCAUUAGCUAUGGUAAGAAUGCCGGUGCUCUGGGCAUCAUCCUGCUGGUGGCUGUCCUGUGGUGAGCCUUUUUAUAUAAAAAUCACUGUGUGCACUUGUGCACACAUAGACCCCCACCCACCGAAGGCUGCACCCUGUUGGUUUUCUUUCUAGGAACAGGAAAAGCACCACUGGGUAAUGUCAUAAGGGAAAUAGGACGGAGUCUCAGGUCAGGAACUGCAGUCAUCUCCUUUGCUGGGUUUCAGCAUUUCCCUCCUUGGGAAUCUACUUCUAUCUGCAGGUUUUUUAUACCUUAUGUUCACCUUUGAUUGUAUGGAAGUGGUUCUCUUACUGUUUAAUCCAACCUCCAGUGACAGAAGUAGAAUUAACUAAAACACAAGGUAGGCUCCAUGCUAGCCAAGAACUCAGUUUUUCUUGGUCUGCAGAUGAGGGGAUGUUCAGUAUCCUAACCUGUUCUCUGGUCACAGGAUGGUGUUUCUCUGGGUGUGGCUCACGAGCCUCCCAUGUUAGAAUCUUCUAGGAGCCGGGAAGUGUGCAAGCUCUAGAGCCCUACUCCGGACUUGUUGAAUCUGAAUGUCUGUGCUGGGGCUCAGGACAUGUGAUAGGAAAGUCACAGAAAUCAUAGAUCUGUCUGAAGAAACUGCUGCAGCCUCCAUUCAUUUCUUUCUUCAUCUUCCAGGCCAUGACUUCGAACUUUGUUAGGAUCCAACCUGCAGGGAGAUUUCAUGUCAGUUCAGUCACACACACACUCACCCACUAGCAUCGCUGUAUCCAAUAUCUUCUCUGGAUGUCAGGAGAGCUCUGUGCUGGCGCUCAAGGACCUCAGGGUCUAGUUGAAGGAAUGAAGUGUGCUCAUAUUAAAAGAAAAGUAGCAAUGCAAAGCAAAGAAGGCCAAGUGCAAAUGUGCAGUGUAGACUUGAUUUUAAGGGAGGGGAGAGGCUUUGGCCUUGGCCAGGAUCCCAAGGAAGUUGCUGAAGACAUGGAAUUGGAGGCAGUGAGAAAGGUGGUCUUUGCAGAGGGAGCAGUGUUGACAAGGCCCCUGUAGGCGUGUGGGCCACUUGCGGGUGAGGUGUGGAACCGAACCUGCCAAAAAAGGAAGAAUUGGGCUGGCUGUGAAUCUAGGAGAAGACUUACAUUUGGAGAGCUUAAAAGAUAAUCAGAUUAAUUGGGAUUUGCCGGAGAAACUUUGGCAAAUCAGUGCUAUAAUCAGCUUCGUGUUGGGAUUUGCAAAGUCGGAAUCCAAUUUCCUAAUUUGAUGUCUUCCCAGUUCAUGGUGCCCCAAAUUGUAGAUCUCAUCCCAUUAGAGGGUUAGAGGGUCUAGAGAAGAUUUUAGAUAAAGUAAGAACAGGGCAUCUCCUAGCUUUUUGUUUUUUUUAAACAAACCUUUUUAUUUUGAAAAAUUUCAUACACUUACAAAAGUAUAACAUGAGCAGAACUUUGAUUUAACAGUGAUGAAGCUACGCCUGUGAGCCAAUAAUAUGAAAUUCAAAAACAGAAAAAAAUGAACCUAUGGGGAUAGAAAGGAAAAUGGUGGUUGCCUUUGGUUGGGUACUUGACUGUGAAGGAGAAGGGGAGAACUUUCUGGAAUAAUGAUAAUGUUUUUUGUCUUUAUUGGAGUAUAUGUGAUUUGUCAAACUCAGCAAACUGUACACUUAAGAUCUGGUACUAUACCUCAAAAAAAUAAAGGUAUUUCUUAUCCUUUUCCUCCAAUUUUCUUUCAGUCCUUCUCAUCAAAUCAAAGAGAAACUCUCAGCUUAGGGCUAGAGUGUCAUUACCAUCUCUCUAAUACUUAUCACCCUCUUCACGCAGAGGCAGAGGGCCUUAGCAUGAUAUUAUUUCAUUUUCAUUGCAUUAAAAAAUACUAUGGCCAGUGAAUCUAAUUUUCUUAAGUUGUAUUAUAGCAUUUUUCUUUUAAAAGAAAAUUAUUUAAGAAAAAAAGAGGCCAGGCACGGUGGCGCACACCUUUAAUUCCAGCACUUUGGGAGGCUGAGGCGGGCAGAUCACUUGAGGUCAGGAGUUCGAGACCAGCCUGGCCAACAUGGCGAAACCCUGUCUCUACUAAAAAUACAAAAAUUAGCUGGGUGUGGUGGUACACACCUGUAGUCUCACCUACUCAGGAGGCUGAGGCAGGAGAAUUGCUUGAACCUGGGAGGCAGAGGUUGCAGUGAGCCGAGAUCAUGCCACUGCACUCCAGCCUGGGUGACAGAGGAGACUCCCUCUCAAAAAAAGAAUAAAAAAAAAAAAGAAAUGUAAGUGGUAAACAUAUAUGGUGAAAGCUGGAGGCAGUGCAUGACUGGCAGAGGUUUGAGAAACGCUGUAGAAGGGGAGCUACUACUUCAGGUGCCCCUGUGGGAUGGAUGAGGACUCUUGCUGAACACGAUCUGUUCUUCUUACUGGGCAUCACUCAGGCAUCCUAUGUAGCACCUGGUUUUGUUUUCCAAACUUAUGGUGACCACUACCCUCACAGCCAGUGGCACUGAGAGAUGCUGGUCAGGGUUAGGGGAUCUGGUGAACUGGAGACCACUCAACCCAGGCUGAGGAAGCACAACAGAUGGGAGUGCUCCUAUGACACCAGGAGGCCAAACUCGAACCUCUGCCUCACGUGCAGCACCGGGCAGACUGAGCUGUUGGAGUAAGACGGAGACAGCAGGGAUGGCUCGUUGCCUUGAAACCUCUCCCUUAGGCACCUGCUGCUGAGACCCAGAACCUUCCUAGGGUUCUGCUGCAGUCAUGCUGCCUCAGCGCUGCUGAGGGGUCUAGAGUCUCACAGCCCUGCUGGGUCAUCGUUGGGGUGAAUAGAUACCUGCUUCUCUCCAGGGACCUAUGGCCUUCCAUAGGCACCUGCUGGGGAUCUUUAUUUGAAAUGAGCAAUGUAUUAUUAGCAAGGGGCAUUGAUUGCAGUCUGCCAGUGACUUAUUUAUCUCCCGUGCUGCUUCUUGCUCUCCGGUUUCCAGGGAGUGCUGGGCUUUCCGGGUUGCCUGUCCAGCGUCUCUGUGUCUCCCUGGCCUGGCCACACAGUAGAAUUCAUCCCAAGUUUCCAGGAGGAGUUACAAUGAAGAGACAGUUCAAGUGACAGUUGCUGUUUAACCGCCUCAUCCGUGGGGUUCCAAGAAAACUGUGACAUCAGUGAAGUUUGUAUUCCCUACCGCAACUUCCGUUUCUGUACCCACCCACUCCCUCUCUUUCUGGCUGCUCCUAGUAUCUGCUUUCAGCCAUUUUAUCUUUAGUUUCCAUCUGCACACUACCUAAUUCACUUCAACAAGACCUGAAGCAGACAGGCCUCACUACCAGGAACAGGACAGGCCUUAGGGGCCUUCAGACCUUGGCACUGGAGGUUCAACUGGGAAGACAGAGUGUUUUGUGUGAGAUUCAGAGGUGGGAGUGAGGGGGCAAGGGUUUAAGUUCAUUAUCAACGAACAGCAGCAAACCUUACUGGGGGUUCACCCUGUGCCAAGCAGGCUCUGAGUGCUGUGUACAGCCUCUCGGCCACCUAAUCCUCCAACAGUUCAGUGAGGUAACCACUACCCUCACCCCCGUUUUACAGAGGUGGAAACCGAGGGUUUAGACAACUGAAGUAACUUGCACAAAAUCACAUGGCAAUAGUAGAGAUGCGAUUCAAACCCUAGGGAAUACGAUUCCAGAACCUCACUGUUAACCAGGAAGCUGGUGUUUCUCAAACUCGCCUGGUGAGUCACUUGAGGCUUUGGUUCAAGUCGGGAUUUCCCAUCGGUUUCCCCUGGAUCCGAUGAUCCUAUGGGUUUGGGAAUCUGCACAUUGAAUAGAGACCCUGAGUGAAUCUUAUCUGCUGGUGGAUGUGGGAAAAUCUACACUUGGCCAUUUGGAAGUGAGGUGUGCCCCCAAGCUGGGAGGAGCGUGGCUGUAGCUGGCAGCCCUGCUGGGGGCGCUGAGCUUCUCAACAGGAGCUGGUGAUAGCUGGAGCUGAGUGCAGGCUCGGAAGCUUGACCAAAACGGGAUUCCAGGCACAGGAACUCAAUGAUCACACCUAGAUAGUUUUGGGGGUGGAUUUGAAGAACAAAUAGAAAGCCUAGUAGGAUAAAAUGUGAUGAGGGAGAGGGAGAGACAGAGACAGAGACAGAGACAGAGAGAGAGACACAAAGUCAGAGACAUCUGAGCUGAAUAGCAGCUGAGAGGCCCCUGACCAGUCAUCACCUCUGGGCAAUGCUGGCCACAGAAUGGGACUGAGCCUGCAGGUGGGUCUGGGGAGGGGAAGUUCAGUUGUAGGCAAUGGAGCCAGGCAGGUCUUUUCCAGAUGGUUUCCUAACCAGGUGUUUCAUGGGAACCUGAUGAGAGGGAGGGGUGACAAGACUCAUGCUAUGGAAAGCCCUUCAACCAGGGGUAUCCCAUUUUCUCUUUAUAAUAUAUUUGGGUUCCAUAUAAGAUUUCAUCUGGAGAGGGGAAAGAUAUUGAAAACGACAAGGCUUACCGUAUCAACAGAAGAGACCUGACAACUUGGCUCAGGGUUCGCGAUACAGGCCUCACCGUGUUCUGACUCUGAGAGGGACAGGAUUUCUUCCUGGUCAAGCCGAAACUUUUCCUGCCAAAGUGUCUCCUACUGAAGUCUGUGGCUACUUGGGAUUCUCAGGGCAUGAGUUGUUCUGGGUGACUGCAAUUUCCAAAUAGCUAAAGGUGUACUCCUUAAAUUACACUUACCUUUUAUUAUUACUAUUUUGGAUGGAAGUCAUCACCCCUAUUUCAGCUUUCAUAAAAUGGUUAUAAUGAACAUAAUUUAACUCAUCCUUGGUGACUCUGGGCUUUUCUUAGGAGCAUCGGUAAUGUUGCUAUGCAGUGGCGCGUUGAUGUUCACAGAGCCAUUCUGGAUACAUCAAGGUGUUUGUCCCUUCGUUAAAGAAUCCUGACUCCAGUGUUUUUACGUGCAGUGUCUACUUACUUCAGUUUUUCUGUGUCUUCUCUAUUAGCACUCACUUCUCAUUGCAAUCAGGGGGCCUGCUUCUACAUAGCCUCUCUCAUCCUUUCUACCUACCCCUCCAUUGCCUCUAAUUUACUUGAUUCUGAUCAGCUGUUGGUUUAGAAACCAGAUAAGUGAUCUUGUUUCAACAGUGCAUAAAAUGAAACAAGCUUUUCAUGAGGACCAGAGGGACACUCCGUCUGAAAGGGAUGUAUGUGGACAUUAUAACAUCAAAUCUAAUUCUCUAUUCAGGUGCCUUUAUUACUUACUUUCUGUCUAAAGUAGGCAAAGUAGUGCUAUUCUCGGGAUUUUUAGGUCUGAAGAAAUAUAUGAAGAUACAUUUCCUGAUUCUUUAGCUUCAUAUGUUUAAGGAUAGGUCAAUCAGAGAAGGGCAUUGACUUACACCAUUGGUCCUCAACUCUGGCUGAAUAUUCAAAUAAUAUUCAAAUACCAGAACCUAGUCCUACCCCAGACCAAUUAAAUCAGAAUCUUUGGAGAUGUGUCCCAUGCAUUGAUAUUUUAAUAACUCUCCUUGGGAUUCUAAUGUGCAAGCAAGGUGGAGAACCACCCAUUUAGACCCUCACAAAACCACCGCACUGAAGACUUGUGUCUUUUAAGACAGAUGACAGGUUCUUGGUGGGGGAAGGUGGCUCAUGCCUAUGAUCCCAGCACUUUGGGACGCUGAAGCAGGAGGAUUGCUUGAGGACAGGAGUUCAAGACCAGCCUGGACAACAUAGCAAGAUCCCAUGUCUACAAAAGAAAAGGUGCCUCUGGAUUUUAUAUAAUAAUGUGAUAACUCAGAAAUUUGUGUACAGAGACCAUAAGAUUGACCAUAUUAUUUAAUACAUUUAUUAAAACACUGUUCACAGUUCAUGCAUUUAUUGCAUGUCUUCUUUCACUGUGCUAAUGUGUAUGUUUGACAAAAGCCUAGGACCAUAGUGAGACCUUGCCUCUACAAAAAUUUUUUUAAAUCAUAUGGGCAUGUAACUCAUCACUGUAACUCCAGUGGAGCAUAGCUCCUGCCUGUGGUCCUAGCUACUCAGGAAGCUGAGGCAGGAGGAUUGUUUGAGCCUAGUAGCUCAAAGCUGCAGUGAGCUAAUGAUCAUGCCACUGCACUCCAGCCUGGGCAACAGAGUGAGACUGUCUCUCUGGUUGGGGGAAAGGGGGGAAAGACAGGGAUUCUCAACCCUCAGCCCUGGCUGUCCUUAAGAACCAUCUGGAAGAGCUAGGAAUCAUUUGAAAAUACCCCUGCCACCCAUUUUUAAUGAGCAGUCAGGGCUGAGAAUCACAACUUUAAGAUAUUUUGCCUGUAAUUAAUAUUUAUAUUUUAAAUCUACAUUUUCUGAGAAGCUCGGAAUUUUAAAAAAUGUAUUAGUAUCUUUCUGAAGAUAAUGAAAACUUGUGUCUUUAGAUUAGCUUUACAUAUCUGACACCUAAAUGGUAGUGUUCAUUCAUAUUGAUAGGAUAAUGAAGGAAAGAAGAGCUUUGAUCAAACGCCUGGGACACCAAAGAUUUAUCUCUGGUCCCAAGAGUGGAAAUCUCGAGAGUGGCCCUGAAUUACAGAGCUGGCAGGAGCUCACAAGUGGUUUGUGGAAAGAUCAGCUCUUUUGUGAUGGCUCUUGGGACAGACAGUUCCUGUGUAACCAGCUCUUCAGUAUUGUCUACCGUGCAUUUUGUAGUUGCAAAAAUGCACAUAUGCAUAAAUGAGAGCAUCCUUCAGCCUUUGGAUGAAAUGUGCAGCUGAAUGAGGAAUGCUGAAGAGAUCAUCAAUGCCACCAAAUCCUCCAGUGUUGUAUGAAAGCAUCAGUUUCAACCGAGAUUCAGGGGAAAAGAUAAUAUGAAAAUGUGUCGAGGGUGGCAGCACGUGGGAAAACUUGCAGGAUGCGCUGAGAAAAACACACACGUGUGUUCCAGUCUCACUGAUUUGGAGCCUCAAAUCUGCUAAUAGGGCCUGUGCUAUUUUUAGCCUUGUUAUCAGAGCAUAGAGCAAGUUUUCAAGGCUUGUAGGAUGUAUCUAUUAAAAUAACCUAUGUGACUGAGUGGCUGCUCUCUAUAACAUUUUUAUUCCACUGAAAUACAAUGAGAGGAAAUGGGGCUGCAGGAAAUGGCCAUUCUAUCAGAGGACCCAAAGCACACAGGGCCAGUCCAGUAUUUACACACAUUCUGGCCAUUGUGCUUGCAACCUUGGGUAACCCUUCACGUUUUUCUUCUCCUUUUUCAUCUUCUUCAGAUUUUGAAGGUUAUUCGGCUUGAGAAGGGAUGUACUAAGCUCUGGGAAAUUGAUUUGUGAAUACACUUUGUAUCUCUUUCUGCACAAUCCUUGGAAGUUUUCAAGGCUGUUGAUUCUCUAACAAGUAGCUGACAGUAUGAACUUCUGGUCCUGAUGAUGGUGCUGGUGGUGGUAAGCGGGGAAUGUGGUGGCACAGCUAUCAGACACCUGAGGCCCGUACCUGAUUAAGGACCUCUAGAAAGGCGUGUAGGCCUCCCACAGAGGCCAGGCCAGCGUCUCCAGACCUUUGAAAAGGGAACAGAGCAGGCAUGUGUUCCAGCCCCUCCACCUCCGCACAAACGUCUGCAGUCUACAGCCAGCUCACUUUGGUGAAGAAGGGAAGGUUUUGUGUAGAGGUCUCUGAAUUGGCUGGUAGAGGUGCCUCUGACUGGUCACGGGGCUUGGGGACUAGGGAUAGUUUCUGUGCCCUGCUGAACCUCCUCAUUCCCACCUAAUCAGCCCCUUUAAGUCGUUUUUACAUAUUGAGCUUUCUGGUAAAGAGGUUCCUGCUGUCCAAAGAUUGAAACCAACUAAGAAUAACAGAAUGCGAGAGAUGGAAAAGACUGUAAGGCAAGCUCUCUGGCUUUCAGUGGGGAAAGCUAUAGUGAGCAGGUGGGGGUCCUGGUCCAGAGUCCCUUUUCCCAUGGAGCCCCAAGAGCAGGCCCUACACCCGCUGGGCCUUGCCCCCUUCUAGUUUCAGGCUACCCUGUGGGCCAGCAGGCUCAGCAUUACACUGUAUUUGUAUAAUUCCCUAUGUCCUUUCCUUCCAUAUCCUCUUUCUUUUAGUUCUUUUCUUUCUUUUAGUUCUUUCUUGAAGAAUGGGGUCAAUUGAUUGAUCUUGAGUAAACAAAUAGUAGCCUGAGUGAAUACCUGCAGAAUUAAAUUCUGAUAGCUUAUUUCACUCUAGAAUCUUUAUGGGUAGCUGCGCAAAGUGGUGUACUUUCCUUAAAGACAGCCUUUCCUUGAUGCUGGGUUAAUGCGCUCCUCUCUGCCCUUGCUGGUGCUAAAGGGUCACUGAGGCUCAGAUGCUCACUGCCAUCUGUAACUCCAGUGGAGCAUAAUGGUCAGGAGCACAGGCUUUGACCCCAGCUCUCUCGAUGAGAAUCCCGGUUCCAAUACAUUUGACCCACAGGACCUCUCUGGGUCUCAGUUUUCUUAUCCCUGGAAUGAGGAUAAUGGCACCUGUUCCACAGGGUAUUUGUAAAUGACCACAUGCCUGUAGUGCUUAGUUGACACACAGUGUUUUAGUCCAUUUAGUGUUACUCUAACAGAAUAGCUAAGGCUGGAUAAUUUAUAAGGAAAAGAGCCUUGCUUAGUUCAUGGUUCUGCAGGAUGGCAAGCUCCAGAAGCCUGGUGCUGGCAUCUGCUUGGCAUCUGGUGAGGGCUUUCGUGCUGUGUCACAACAUGGCAGAAGGGCAAAGGGGAAGUGGUGCAAAGAGGCCAAACCUGAGGGGUGUCCUGGCUUUUAACAACCCAGUCUCACCAGAAGUAAUCCAGUCUCCCCAGAGCAAGAACUCACUACCAUGAGAAUGGCACCAAGCCAUUCAUGAGAGAUCCAUCCCCAUAACCCAGACACCGCUCAUGAGGCCCCACCUCCCAACACCACCACACUUGGGAUCACAUUUCAACAUGAGUUUUGGCGGGGACAACUCAAAUCAUAGCAUACGAUGAGUGCUCAGUAAAUGCUAAGCUAUUGUCAGUGGUCACUUUCCAUCCCUACCCCAAACACAAAGCUAGAGAAACUGCCCUUCCCACCCUUUCCCUUCUAUCAGCUUGUUCUGGUGGCUCUAACACGCAGGAGAGAUGCUGGCCGAGGGUGGCUUCUGCUGCCUGGUGCUCAAGUUCCUGUCCCACUUUUACUGCUCACUAACUGUGUGACUCUGGAUAAUCUACGUAGCCUCUCUGUGCCUGGGUUUCCUGCCUUGAAAGAUGGGGUUAAGGAGAGUUUCUUUCUUCAAGGACUGGUUGUAGGAUUAAAUGAGAUAAUGCUUAUUGUAAAAGUGCAUCCAUUUUGUCGUGAGCACUGAUAAAUGGUAGGUGGUAUAAUUAAUUAAUUUUUUUUGUUGAGACAGAGUCUUGCUCCAUCACCCAGGCUGGAGUACAGUGGCACGAUCUCGGCUCACUGCAACCUCUGUCUCCCGGGUUCAAGUGAUUCUCCUGCCUUAGCCUCCAGAGUAGCUGGGAUUACAGGCACCCGCCACCACUUCUGGCUAAUUUUUGUAUUUUUAGUAGAGACGGGGUUUCACCAUGUUGGCCAGGAUGGUCUCAAACUCCUGACCUCAGGUGAUCUUCCCGCCUUGGCCUCCCAAAGAGCUGGGAUUACAGGCGUGAGCCACCCUACCCAGCCUAAUUAAUUUAUUUGCCCUUCCUUGUUCCAGAAUAGAUUUAAGCAGGGCAGAGAAGAGGUGUUGAGUAAACAAAAUGUCCUGGAAAGCUCUUUGCUGACUGAGAGAGAGCUGCGGAGGAGCCUUCCUAUUUGUUGAAUUUGGGCGAAUGGGGAAAAUGCAAAGCUCCCAAUCCCCCAAUUUCUCCCUCUGUUUCCUGGGCUGCUGCUCUUCUUUCUCGCUUGUUCUCUUUCUUCUUCUGCUCUUGUGUGUUCCAUGUUUGGUUAGACACUUCGGGGGAGGGAGGCAAGCUGAGAGGGGAAGAAAGAAGAAAAAAUUAUACCCAGACUUCCCCAAAUCCUACUCUUUGGAAACCCUGAGAGCUGACAGGUGUUCUAUCUCGUUUGUCUGCAAUGAAGAUUACUGAUGAAUCCAAGCUGCAGGUUGUUUUUCUCUAGCAAUGGUAAAGUAUGUGUCCAAAAGCAACUCCAGACGGUGGCCUCAGCUUACUGAUUUUCUCUCUGAUGCUCUGGCCUUUGAGUUCUGUGUGAGCAUAUGUUGGGCAGUUAGCCAAUUCCAGGUGUAGAGUUUUGUUUUCACAGCCAUGAUCAAGGCCAACCACCAUACUUUGAUCGAGGCCAUCAGGAACCAUCAAAAACAGCAACAAUUGUUUAAAUUUCCCCCUAGAUAUGUUUGGAACUGGGAUCCGGGCUAAACCUGUGCCGGUGCUUGUCAAGGACAAGGACAGGGUCUCACACUGACUGGUGAACAGCCCUGUUACAUAGCCAGGAACAAAGGACUCUGAGUCAUGAGUGUUCGCAUUUUUUUUUUCUUGCUUGGUUCGGAUUGGUUCUAGUUAUUGGGAUAUUAACAGAAAUGAAAAGGUUUAGAUAAAAUCCACAGCAAUCCCACAUCUCCAUGCCUGAAUCCCAGAGAGUAUGAUUCGGAUUAGCCCUAAAACCUUGCCUUAUUAUCGUGGGGCAGCCGCCCUGGGACCCCAGCUAGAGAAGCAGGGAGACGCAGAUGUUUCAGCUUGUUGCAAAUGGAAUUGUUGACCAGUCGAUGCAGAACUCUUCCUCAGGAGUGUGGCAUCAUUGAUUUAUGAAUUAUGGCCCUUUUAAACUCUCUGCUUGCCUUCUCGGAUAUCGACGUUUUAAAAAGCGAUUUCUCAUGUGGAUCCUUUUCAGAAACACAUACACAUGGCCCGAGAUGAGCUCUUAUGUCAGAAUAAAUGGAGUGGCGCACUCUGGGCUGGCGUUUCCUUCGAAUAAUGAAUUAUUCAGGGAGGGAUUUUUGUUUUUGAAAAUGGCAAAUGCAUUGACGGGGCAGACAGGAAGGAAUUACACUCUGGGCUGAGUACCUUCUUAUCUUUCAGGGAGGGGUUAACCAGCCUGGAUGAAGCAGGGUGCCAAUUCGUUCUCAUUCCUGCGGUAUUCUAGCACGGACCCUGAUGCACGGCUUUCUGUGGUUUCAAGCGCCUGGGGAGGAACCUGGGCAAGGCUGUGGCAAGGAAUCUCAGGAAGGGCAUGGAUCUCGCCUGACAGCCCCGUCUCUGGAGGGAGAUGUGUGACAGUCUCUGACCACUCACUGCUUUUUCAUUUUCCUUCUGAGCAUCUCUGACUUCCUUUCUUCCUCUCCCACUCCCAAGGUUGGACUGUUCGAAUACAAGCCUCCUCCACUUCUAAUUACUUGAAGUAUUCAUCAUAAUGAUAGACAUCCUUUAUUGAUCACCUAUAGAAUCCUAUGGGGGAGGGACAAUUAUUGCCCUACCCCCCCCCGAUCCACCAUUUCUUUUUUUCUUAACGGGAGAAGAAACUGAACCUCAAACAAGUAGAAAUGUCAAGAUCACAGAGCUAAUGAGAGCAGAGUGAUUCAGACUCCGCUUCUGCUGUUGUUGGUUUGUUGCUGUUGUUUUCCACUCUUUCCUUUCAUCUUUGUGCCACCCAGCCCUGUCUGUUCGAGGUACAUGACCCCACCUUCUGAGGAGGUGAGGCCAGCACCUCUUCUCCUUCUUGAGGUCCCCCACUGGGGUUUCCAGAGACUGCAGCAUCCAUGCUGAUGAGCCAGCCAGGGCCCCAGCCUCACAGUUUCUGGUCUUCCUUGGCAUGGGUGUGUCGUGGAGUGACCAGACCUUCCACCUAGAGCUUUGACCCUGCCCUCAACUCUCCCACCACCCCGCACCACCACAUCCAUGCUCUGCUCUCCCUCAGACCUGAACCACUUGAACAUUAUUGUUAUUAUUUUUUUUUGAGAUGGAGUGUUGCUCUUGUCACCCAGGCUGGAGUGCAGUGGCGUGAUCUCAGCUCACUGCAACCUCCGCCUCCCGGGUUCAAGUGAUUCUCCUGCCUCAGCCUCCUGAGUAGCUGGGAAUACAGGUGCCCACCACCACGCCCGGCUAAUUUUGUAUUUUUUUAGUAGAGAUGGGGUUUCAUCAUGUUGGCCAGGCUGGUCUCGAACUCCUGACCUCAGGUGAUCCACCCUCCUCAGCCUUCCAAAAUGCUGGGAUUACAGACGUGAGCCACUGCGCCCGGCCGGAACAUUUUUAAUUGCCCAGUCUAUUCUGCUGCUCUCGAUACUGGAUUCUCCACCAGGCCUGAAGGUCAUAGUCAGCUUCUUCAAACCACACAAACUGGCUCUGUGGGCCCUGGUUCCGUCAGCAGGGUGCUUCCUGGGAUUGGCCACUAUGUUCUUUGCCCCUUCUCAUGUCACUGUCUGCUGGUCCUGCUCAGGUGGCCAGGAGCAGAGCAGAGCUAGGCAAUGCUGUGAGACCCCCCGCAGAGUUGUCUUCUGCAGGUUUGCACAGCUUUUAGCAUGACCUCCACUCCACCCAGGUUUGACAGCGCUUUUUCAAAUUUCAAGCAUUCAGAAAAGUUGAAAAGAAUAGAAAAUAAACACAGCUCAUUAUUUCUAAGCAAUACUCCCAUCCUACAUCUCCCUUCACUCUAAGCUUCUUUGCAUUUCUUUGAAAGCAGUUGUUCUUCACACCUCUGUGCCUUUGCUCAUGCUGUUCCUUCAGUGUAGAAUGCCCUUCCCUGCUCUACUUGCUGAACUCCAGCUAAUUCUUUGAUGUCUUCUCCAGGUUCUCCAUUCCCAUGCCUGCCCCAGUUAGUUGUCUUAUUCUAGGCUGACAAAAUGUCCAGGUGUCAUUUGUAUAACAUAGUAAUUGAUGAUAGACUCUAGAGCCAGGCUGCCUGGCUUCAAACCCCAGCUCUCUCACUAGCUGUAAGAAACCUUGGACUGUUACUGAACCCUUUAUGCAUUAAUUUUCUCAUGUGUCAACAGAAGAUAAUAAUAAUUUCUACUUCUUAGGGAUGUAAUGAGCACUAAAUGAAUUAAUAUACAUUAUGAGAACAAUGCUUGGUGUAUGGGUGCCACAUAAUACAAGCAUUGGCUGCUAUUAUAUCUCUUAUGAUGAUUUCACUGAAAUUAUCACUAAAAUUGAACUUCUUGAGAGGCGGCACUGUCUUAUCUUGACUUGGGCAAUCUGCUUCCAGGCCAAUUAACUUAACCUCUCUGACUUCACCUUCUCCACCUGCAAAAUGGGGUUGAUAUGGUAUACUGGGUACCUGGGAGGAUGAAAUGAGUAAAUACAGGUAUGUCAUUGUGGUCAAACAAGGGUGAGCCAUCAUUCUUAGCUAUUGUGCAUUUUUCCCAGAGCCCAGGUCGAGACUUGCAGAGCUAGAAAAGACUUCACAGGUCAUGAGGUUUUACUUUUUGUUUUGUAGAGAUGGGGGUCUCACUAUGUUACCCAGACUGCUCAUGAACUCCUGGCCUCAAGUGAUCCUCUCGCCUCAGCCUCCCAGAGUGCUAAGAUUAUAGGUACGAACCACCAUGUCCAGCCAUCUUGAGGCUUUUUGUUUUUUAAUGUUAUAGAUAAAGAGCUCAGAACAGUUAAGAAAUCAUUGAGGGUUACGUAACUCCAUUUACUAUUUAUUUGAGACACAAUGGUACAAGAGGUUGAAUCCCUAGGAGUGUCAGUGUUUCAGACAAAGCAGCCUUGGGAAGAGGGAGAAUAAUGCUUGCUGUCUAGCGUUUGAUGUUUUCACAGAUUGCCUGUGACCGCCUGUAUGUAACAGGUAUAGUAUCAUUAGCUUGUUGUCCAUGUGGGGAGACUGCACCCAAACCCAUUCUGGUGACAUCACACAGUUGGCAGGCCACUUUACUCAUUCUGCCUCAUGGCUUAGCCUUCAUAGAACAAAAUCCCUACCAGAAAUAAGCUGCAGGUUGAAGGGGAGGGAGGGAGCCACGCAUGUCCUUGUCCUUACUAGGGUUUCUCAGCUCUCCACGACUGUGGUAACCACACACCCUGGUUUGCCCAGAACAAUCUCAGUUUACACCUGUGGACCCAGUUCCAUGGUGCACCACAUACCUGUUCACUUGCAGAAGUGUCUUUUCCAGUGCUGGGGAGCCACAUCUUAUGUUUUGCUUUUUUAACCUGCCAGCAGGCUUCUUGCACGCACCAGGCUGAGGCCGUUGUUCUCCUUAAUUAAUUCGCUCUGCAAGCCAGCCAACCCCACUGAAGCUCUGGGAGAAGGACAAGGAACAUUUAAACUGACCUGUCUUUGGUUGGGGCGGUCUCUGCUGUUGGGGCAACAGCACUAUGCAGAGGAUGGCUGGAGUCCACAUGCUCAGGAAGGACUGCAUUGCACUUCACAGUUUUGUUUUCUUCCCAGCCCCAUCUUUUUCAAUUGGGACUACCGUGGUAGCUUUGGCGCUUGGCGCUUUCAGCAUAGGUACUGCUAUUCUUACAAGUGCUCUACCUCAGUAAAGGUUGAGGGGAUCCAGGCCUUCUCAUGGAACUCUGGUAUUUAGCUGGAUUGUAGCUGGAAGGAGAAUGCACAUUGCCAACCUAACAAAACAGGCGCUGGGCUUACUGAGUUCCUUCGCCAAAACCCAGGAAUGUAGACUUGUUCUCAUUUCCUCAUUUUAUACUCCUGUGAGGAAUUCUUGGGGCUGCAUAAAGUGAUUAACCCAGGAGCCAGCUCCUUGGCGUGUCGGGUAGAGAGGCCAGGCUUAAUGAGUGUACUUUCUCCUGCCUUGAUCUCAAGGAGCUCAGCAAAGUCGUUUGUGCAAAUAAAGUAUACAGUGGAAACCUCUGUUUACUCCAUUGGAUUAGGCUAAACCAGAUUGUAAAAGGCAGAUGGGAAAAAUAAAAAAUAAAUAGUUCUAAAAUAAAAAAGGAAUUUAUAUAUGUGGAGCAUAUAAGCUAGGUUUUAUUAUGUCUAUUUUAGAGAUAUAGAAACUGAGGCUCCCAAGAGUUAAGAGUAGCAGAGCUGUGGUUUGGAUUUGGAAGCCCAAGCUCUCCCCACCAAAACACAUUGCCUCCUCCUUUGCCUCACAUACAUGCCUGCCCCCGACUUUUGUGGGACCUCCUGUAGGCGCUAAGGGAGAGCCAUAUGCAAUGUGUCCAAAUAUUGAAACAUUAGAUGUCAAACAUAAAGACUGUUAAGAUGUGUUCCAGCCUCCCAGCUUGACAAAUAUACCUUCAGAAUGACAAAAUUUAAAAAGUGUAAAGCCAGAGUUUUAUAUGAUUGAAAGCAAAAUAUCAAGUUCAAGUUGCAUAUUUAAUGGGAAUAUUUUUCUUGCUAAUUUUCAUCGUUUUGAUCAGUAAUUAUUUCCUAAGUCUUUAUUAAAUUGAGAAUUUAUAAUAUCGUUUCAAAGUGUAUAUGGGCCAUGCUCAACAGAAGUGGCUUUUCUUUACCUGUUUUCAGUGUUUUUAAAAUUUAAAAAACUAUAUUUUAUAUUGUAUUUUUUAUUAUUAUGGGCACAUAAUUGGUGUUUUCCGUUUUUUAAAAUGUGAGCAUUGGCCGGGCACGGUGGCUCACGCCUAUAAUCCCAGCACUUUGGGAGGCUGAGGUGGGCAGAUCACAAGGUCAGGCGAUCAAGACCAUCCUGGCUAACAUGGUGAAACCCCGUCUCUACUAAAAAUACAAAAAUUAGCCGGGCAUGGUGGUGGGCUCCUGUAGUCCCAGCUACUCAGGAGGCUGAGGCAAGAGAAUGGCGUGAACCAGGGAGGCGGAGCUUGCAGUAACCUGAGAUCGUGCCAUGGCACUCCAGCCUGGGCAACAGAGUGGGACUCCGUUUCAAAAAAAAAAAGAGAAAAAAGUGAGCAUUUUCAUUCAUUAUUGAUGUUCUAUUAUUUAUUCUUUUCAGCUCCUUUUUUCUGAGCUCCACUUUUCUAUUUCAAUCAUAAUCCCAAUUUAUACUCAUUUUCAGUGAUCUAAAGAAUUACACAAGGAAAUUUAAUUAUAUUCAAAGUAUAUAAAAAUUGAGUAUAUAUUUAGUAAAUAGAUAAAUUGUAGUAAAUAUAAAAGUUAAAAUAUUUGGUCAGGUUUGGUGGCAUGUGCCUGUAGUCCUAGCUACUCAGGAGGCUGAGUGGGGAAGAUUGCUUAAGCCCAGGAGUUGGAGGCUGUUGUGCACGAUGAUCAUGACUGUGAAUAACCACUGCACUCUAGCCUGGGCAACAUAGCAAGACCCUGUCUCUAAAAGAAAAGAAUAUUUUUUAAAAAAUUAAAAUUAUUUCAAUGCUUUCAAAAAAAGAUUGUCUUCCAAAUAUUCAAAAUUAAAAGGCACAUGUCAGUAUAAUUAGUGCACACUCAAAAUCUGAUACUUUUUAAAGCAUGGGGCUCAGGGCAGGCUCCCGUUGUCCCUAGUCUGCGGAUGGCACUGCUCACACAUUUAGUUUGUACAAGGAGAAGAUUCCAUUUCUUCUUGCUGAGAUGAUGUCAGAAGUAGUUACCAGAAUCAGGACCCAGUCUAGGGUCAGGGUUUUCCAGCAGAGGCAGGAUCAGGAAUUGCAGUCAUGUCACCAGGCUGCAGCUUAAUGAGGUGUAGGUUAAGCUCCUAGCAUCUGAAUGUCUGGACUUCUUGUCCACAAGACAAAGAAAGCCUGGAUUUGAGACUGUUUCCAUGGUGGGUCCUGGGGAGGAGGAAGGCUGAUAUGUGGGUAGUCACCUCCAGGCUGGUCAAGUGGGGAGAGAUUUUCCCCCUAGUUCUCUAGUUUGUAUAAUGCUGGGUGGAUGAAAAUAUAGUUGCAGGGUAGGGUAGUGGUGGCGCAGGAGUGCCCAGCGGCUGGAUACUUGAUAGUGUAUUAAAGCAAAGGCAUGGAGCAGUAUGCUAAACUCUGCACAGUCAGGCUACAAGGUUGCUGGGUCAGGUGGGGGUCAGGGUGUUUUCACAAAAUAAGAAAGGACUGAACAGGAAAGGCUGUUCAGUAUAAGUCACCUUGAGAGCAUGGGGAGUCACACUGCCCAGGCAGCAGCCCUUCCAUAAAGCCUCAUGCUGGGGGGUCUGACUCGAGAGAGCAAUCAGGUUGCCUGUCAUUGGUCAGGCUUCUGGGCCAGGGCUGGAGUGGCUGGAGCCCAGGUAGACCUGUGGCACCUGGCAGGUGCCAAGGGCAGUUUUAAUCAGCAGUUGGCUACAGGCUCUUGCCAAUAGGCAAUGAGAGGCCUGUCUAGACUGGGGUUUUAGGGCAGCCUUCACUCCUUACUCCUAGAAGGAGUAAGUUCUGGAGAGAAGGACAAGGGAGAGCCACAGUCUUGGCGGAACUGGGCUGCUGGGCAAGGGGUCAAGUCCAUGCCUUAAGCCCCACAAGGAGUUUCAACCUAUGGGGUUCAAGGCAGAAGAACAAAAUAAAACUUCCGCCAUUAAAAUUGGAGAAGGAACUUGGGGGUAGAACUAACAGUAGAGCUGGCUUCCUUCGGCCCAUAAAUCUUCACUAAUUAUCUCCUAUGCACCAUGCACUGUGCUAGGCACUGACAUACAUGUAUGCAUGAGCCAUGGUUCCAGGUCCUCCCAGAGCUGGGGAUUAUAAUCCACUCUAUGAGAGAGGCAGAAGAGCAGAUCAUUACAAUACCUGGAAGCUAACGCAGUCAUAGAGAAA